CCCUCUCCCUCCCGAUCCAGAUUGGAUCGGGGCAACCGACGCCACCCCACGCCGCCCCAACGGUUCCCCACCGCUUGCUAUUUGCCCCCACACUCCUUUCCUCCCUGCCCUCAUGUGAGAGCCAGCACGCGUGGCCUCCGAUGACCAAGCGAUAGGGUUUGGCACGCCACCUCCCUCUCCUCGAUCCAGAUCGACACGUCCCUCCGCCGCCCCCUCCUCCAGGCGGCGUACGACGGUGACCUUCGCCCCCUCCUUCAGAGCUCUCCAAACAGACCACGCGAGGGCGCUAGACAAGGGUGGGGGACGUGUGAGGGAGGUGGUGGAUUGGAGGUGGUCGCCGUGGAAGGCAACGAGGAAAGGAAGGGUGUUGGUGCGCUACACCUCACCGCCGAUGCCCCCUCCCUCGUCCCCACGUGACCUGAUGCGACGCUCGGCAGACGCUGACGAGCCAUUUGAGGACCGCGACGGGCGGGAUGGUCAAGUUGUACCCUCGACCAUGAACAGCAGGAGGCCCGUCAACAGCAGCAACUCAGGUUCUCCCCUGUCUGCUCGCUCGAUUCUUCAACUCACUUUAUUUGAUUUGUGUUGAUGCAAGUGUGUUGUUGAUGCUUUGCUGUUGUUUUUUGCUCACGCGGGGCGCAAGGAGAUGGUGCUUCACUUGGCCAAGUUUGUCGACAAGGGCGUCCAGGUCAAGCUCACCGGUGGCCGCCAAGGUUAUGCAAGCAAAUAAAGAAAUGGAGGAGCACCAGGAACAGCCAGGUCGGGACAUGUGUGAACCUAAAGAUGAGCCUACAAAGAUGGAGAAGCACCAAGAACAAUCAUCUCGGAACAUGAAUGAAGCCGAAGGCAAACCUGUAGAAAUGGAGGUUUGUCAAGAAUGAAACUCAAAAUUGAUGUGGCAUGAUAUAUACACAUGUUUAUAGACUUAAAAUUGUGGUGGUUCCUCUUUUACAAAAGCUCAAGUAUGAAGUGCGAAGUCGUGAAGUCCUACUCAGUGAAGAGUAGCAUAUUGUAGCAUAUCUGUGUUGUAAAGAUUGUAAUAGAUUUAUUUAGUGAUACAUUUGAUGAAUUUUAUGUGUUCUUCGUUCUAUUUGAAAUAUUGAUUAUCUAUACUACUAAUAAACAAGCAAACAAGAACUUUUUUAUGUACACCUAAUAAAACGUACACGGAUCUAUUAUUACCGCAUGAUUAGGCCCACAAAAUUCAAUCUAACGGCUAGCCUUAACCUAAUCCAUUCUCUGUGUGCACUUAACAAUUUGCAUUGACUAACCAUGCUCCAUCGCGGAGAAAAAUAUGAAACUCCACACCCGAUUAAUUAGGAAACCAUAAUCAUGAUGACGUAUUAUUAGGAAACUAAUGACGAUCACGUCUAAUUAGGAAACAAAUCGGGUAUUCGCACAUAUUGACACGUCCAUCACCUCAACCUGAUCCCGACUGUGGCGGCAGCGAAGGAGAUGGGGCGCGCUUUCUACAUCUGGAUCAAGCACGAGGAGGAGCGGCGCGAGGCGUCCUGGGACUGGGAGAAGCCCAAGGGCCAUGUCUUCUCUACCACCAAGGACACCGAUGUCGCCGCACGCCACGUCGAGCUCCGCAAUCAAAUCCUCAUCGGCAGCGCCUCCUUCGCCGACCUCGCCACCGCUCCUCCGUGAGGUGCGACGGCGACCUAGGUAUGCCUCCACAUGCCCUGCCUACGCGCUAAUUUGCAGGCUUCUAGAUAGGGUCUCCGAUCGUGGCGAACUGGAAGCACUAGCCAAGGCACUUCUUCGUCCUUUUUGUUCUUCUGUUACCCAGCCAAACCAAUUUUCUUGAGAACAAUCGUAUCUGGUUAGGACCAACACAUGAACCUGCAACACAAAUAAUGGGGGGAGCAACUACGAUAGAGGAUGAACUCGUGGUUGCUCUCUUGCUCUUUUCUUCAAAACAAUCUGAGAAAGGGUGCAAAGGAAACUAUAUUUUAAUCCUGAGAGAGCAAUCUUAUAUGAAAUAUAGUGUUGUGUUUGUGCGCCCCAUUUGGCAAGAGUUCAUAUUACCAUUUGUGUCAGUAUGAAAGUUCUCGCAUUGGUUGAUGCAGAAUAUGUCUAUUUUUUUACCAAGGGGUUCUAAUGAUUCGAAGACUGCGAUAUGUGCAAAUCUAGAAACUCUUUCUUCCCAUGAUGGGAAAUGCGCCAAGCCGAUCAGUUGUUGCCUUUGAAAGUGCACAUGCAUUGCUUAUGUACAGUAUUAAUUAUUAUAGGAUUAUGGGGCUAUUUGGACAAGAGCCAAGGGUUGCCCAACCAAAUUUUUUGGACUUGACCAGCGCGUUGACGGAUGUUUGGAUCAGCUCCAAAUAUUUGCAUUGCCCCGAGCCCAUCAGCUCUCCAUGUUGAUUAAGUAGCCAAAAUAUUGGUGAGACCGUGGCGGCUGAAUCGUCCGCCAAUUUUUUGGCGUGCUGACGGUUGGCAGGGCCACCACCAGCAGCAACCAAACAUGCCCUAUAUUUCGUAAGGAUUCAUUUUUUAUGGUCACGUCAACCAUGAUCGGCUUUGCAAAAAGCCAAGGUGUUAGGUACAGAUCAACUUAAUGUUUAUAUUUGAACAAAUACAGAAUUAUGCUUGAUCUUCAAAUAGAGGCACCGAUUGGGAGGAAACCUUGGUAUGUAUGAUGGGGACCCUCGAACAUAAGGUGGAUAAAUACAGUAGGGUAUGGACAUAUCGGGAAGCUGUUCAUCACAUUCAUUUCUCUCAAUGGAUUCAUAUUAAGGCCCGGGUUUAUCUGAAUGCCCAACAUAUUAUGUGGCUGCAACUGUACGUCGGGGAGUUACAGUUAUCUCAAAGCUAAUGGCAGACCAAUUUUUUUGAGUGUUUGCAUCUCAAAGGAUGAACACAUUUGUCAUGAACUCGAGAUUAUGAGUAAGUGUGGUUCUACCGUCAGCGAGUUCUACAAUUGGUUUCACGUGUACGGUGUACCUGACUUUUCUUGGACAGCCGCAAGAUGUCAUAUUGAUGCAACUUGAUGGUUUGCUUCUGUAUGAACUAGCAAUAUUCUGUUUUUUACAUGUACAAACUUAUAUUUCAGAAAUUUGAUGAAAUUUGUCAUUUGGUCGACUUA